rnacentral:rRNA from 1 species
UCCCUUCGGGGUGACGUUAUCGUAACUUAGUGGCGAACGGGUGAGUAACACGUGAGUAACCUGCCUUUCAGAGGGGGACAACAGUUGGAAACGACUGCUAAUACCGCAUAAGACCACAGAGCGGCAUCGCUCAGGGGUCAAAGGAGCAAUCCGCUGAAAGAUGGACUCGCGUCCAAUUAGCUGGUUGGCGAGGUAACGGCCCACCAAGGCGACGAUUGGUAGCCGGACUGAGAGGUUGAACGGCCACAUUGGGACUGAGACACGGCCCAGACUCCUACGGGAGGCAGCAGUGGGGAAUAUUGCACAAUGGAGGAAACUCUGAUGCAGCGACGCCGCGUGAGGGAAGAAGGUCUUCGGAUUGUAAACCUCUGUCUUCAGGGACGAUAAUGACGGUACCUGAGGAGGAAGCCACGGCUAACUACGUGCCAGCAGCCGCGGUAAAACGUAGGUGGCAAGCGUUGUCCGGAAUUACUGGGUGUAAAGGGAGUGCAGGCGGGACGGCAAGUUGGAAGUGAAACCCAUGGGCUUAACCCAUGAACUGCUUUCAAAACUGCCGUUCUUGAGUGGUGCAGAGGUAGGCGGAAUUCCCGGUGUAGCGGUGGAAUGCGUAGAUAUCGGGAGGAACACCAGUGGCGAAGGCGGCCUACUGGGCACUAACUGACGCUGAGGCUCGAAAGCAUGGGUAGCAAACAGGAUUAGAUACCCUGGUAGUCCA